rnacentral:rRNA from 1 species
UACGAAGGGGGCUAGCGUUGCUCGGAAUCACUGGGCGUAAAGCGCACGUAGGCGGAUCUUUAAGUCAGGGGUGAAAUCCUGGAGCUCAACUCCAGAACUGCCUUUGAUACUGGGGAUCUCGAGUCCGGGAGAGGUGAGUGGAACUCCGAGUGUAGAGGUGAAAUUCGUAGAUAUUCGGAAGAACACCAGUGGCGAAGGCGGCUCACUGGAUCGGUACUGACGCUGAGGUGCGAAAGCGUGGGGAGCAAACAGG